rnacentral:rRNA from 1 species
AAUGGACGAAAGUCUGACGGAGCGACGCCGCGUGCUGGAUGAAGGCCUUCGGGUUGUAAACAGCUGUCAUAGGGGAGGAAAUUUUGACCGAUCCUAAGAGGAAGCACAGGCUAAGUUCGUGCCAGCAGCCGCGGUAACACGAACUGUGCGAACGUUAUUCGGAAUCACUGGGCUUAAAGGGUGCGUAGGCGGUUCUAUAGGUCAGAUGUGAAAGCCCACGGCUCAACCGUGGAAUUGCGUUUGAAACCAUAAAACUUGAGUGAGAUAGAGGUAAGCGGAACUGAUGGUGGAGCGGUGAAAUGCGUUGAUAUCAUCAGGAACACCGGUGGCGAAAGCGGCUUACUGGGUCUCUACUGACGCUGAGGCACGAAAGCUAGGGGAGCGAACGGGAUU